rnacentral:rRNA from 2 species
CCCGCGGCGCAUUAGCUAGUUGGUGAGGUAACGGCUCACCAAGGCGACGAUGCGUAGCCGACCUGAGAGGGUGAUCGGCCACACUGGGACUGAGACACGGCCCAGACUCCUACGGGAGGCAGCAGUAGGGAAUCUUCCGCAAUGGACGAAAGUCUGACGGAGCAACGCCGCGUGAGUGAAGAAGGUUUUCGGAUCGUAAAACUCUGUUGUUAGGGAAGAACAAGUACGAGAGUAACUGCUCGUACCUUGACGGUACCUAACCAGAAAGCCACGGCUAACUACGUGCCAGCAGCCGCGGUAAUACGUAGGUGGCAAGCGUUGUCCGGAAUUAUUGGGCGUAAAGCGCGCGCAGGCGGUCUUUUAAGUCUGAUGUGAAAGCCCCCGGCUCAACCGGGGAGGGUCAUUGGAAACUGGAGGACUUGAGUGCAGAAGAGGAGAGCGGAAUUCCACGUGUAGCGGUGAAAUGCGUAGAGAUGUGGAGGAACACCAGUGGCGAAGGCGGCUCUCUGGUCUGUAACUGACGCUGAGGCGCGAAAGCGUGGGGAGCGAACAGGAUUAGAUACCCUGGUAGUCCACGCCGUAAACGAUGAGUGCUAAGUGUUAGAGGGUUUCCGCCCUUUAGUGCUGCAGCUAACGCA